GUUAUCCAUCAUAAGGUUAUUUUCAUCUUAACAUGUUUAACUCUCUUAACUUUUUGGAUCUAGCCACCGCCCAAAAUACUUAAACCAGGUUAAGAAUUUUAGACUUACUAUAUCUUAUAUAUAGGGACGUCACAGAUGAAGGAUGUAAGAGAUACACCUCAUAGGAGGCGUGCAAAUAGCAUUUAUUUUGUUAUUCUAUUAUGGUUAAAAUAUAUUG
rnacentral:lncRNA from 1 species